rnacentral:rRNA from 1 species
GACGAACGCUGGCGGCGUGCUUAACACAUGCAAGUCGAACGGAAAGGCCCCUUUGGGGGUACUCGAGUGGCGAACGGGUGAGUAACACGUGAGUAACCUGCCCUUGACUUCGGGAUAACUUCAGGAAACUGGGGCUAAUACCGGAUAGGAAUCCUUGCUGCAUGGUGGGGGUUGGAAAGCUUCGGCGGUUUUGGAUGGACUCGCGGCUUAUCAGCUUGUUGGUGGGGUAGUGGCUUACCAAGGCUUUGACGGGUAGCCGGCCUGAGGGGGCGACCGGCCACAUUGGGACUGAGAUACGGCCCAGACUCCUACGGGUGGCAGCAGUGGGGAAUAUUGCACAAUGGGCGGCAGCCUGAUGCAGCAACGCCGCGUGCGGGAUGACGGCCUUCGGGUUGUAAACCGCUUUCAGCAGGGGCGAAGCUUGUGGUGACGGUACCUGCAGAAGAAGCACCGGCUAACUACGUG